UCAACAGUAAUGAAUAUGUCACUUGCCUUAGCAGCUGUCUUGGCGUUUUUGUAACGGAAAUUGUAUGGACAGACUGGUGGGGGAGAGCACAAAGAAGUGGAUGACGAUGCCAGUGUGGGCACCAUUGUGAGUUUGUCAAGGGUGUGCUGCUACUAGGCUUCUAGCAGACACCUGCAUAGGUGCAAAACAAGUAUAGACAGAUUACUGCUUCUUAGUUUGUUGGUUAAUGGUUUGCAAAGAUCAGAUGAAGAACAUGCUAUAAGCAUAAUGCACAAAACUCCUCACUUCAUCAACGCGGCCACUAUCAUGCUAAAUGUUGAACAAAUUGAAUUAGAACAUCAGUUUCAAUCAACCUUAUGUGAUAUCUUUACUUGAUUAAAAAGACAAAUUACCAUACCCAUUGACUUGGAUGAGUAGGAUAAAUCUACAACAGAACAAAUAAGCUCUGCUAAUGAAACAAAUAACUGAACAAAAGAAUCCAAACUAACAAAACAAAUGUACUCUCUGAACAAAUAAAAAGAACUAUAUAUGAAAUAGACAGGUGACACCACCAUGUUUCAGAACCAGGCACAUAACAUAUUUGCUUUGGUUUUCAACAAGGAUAGGAACUGGACAAUAUAAUAUUCGUGAAGUACCA
rnacentral:lncRNA from 1 species